rnacentral:rRNA from 1 species
UACAGAGGGGGCAAGCGUUAUUCGGAAUUAUUGGGCGUAAAGAGCUCGUAGGCGGUCUGUUGCGUCGGCUGUGAAAACCCGGGGCUCAACUCCGGGCCUGCAGCCGAUACGGGCAGACUGGAGUUCGGCAGGGGAGACUGGAAUUCCUGGUGUAGCGGUGAAAUGCGCAGAUAUCAGGAGGAACACCGGUGGCGAAGGCGGGUCUCUGGGCCGAUACUGACGCUGAGGAGCGAAAGCCAGGGGAGCAAACGGG